ACUACAACAAAACACGACAGAAAUCCACAACAUAAACAACAAAACCUGCAAUAAACGACAAUACGGAUCCUGGGUCCGAAUCCAGGCUUACCCGCCCUGCCUGAGAUGACCACCUCAACGUCAUCUCCCUCAUGUUGGCCACCGAAUGGACCUACUUCAUCCUGUGUUGGCCAUCGUGUUUUCCCUUCACCCUAUAUAAAUAAUUAAACGGACAUCUUCAUCAUCAGAUAUGUAUUAAACAAUCAAACAAUUAGGCAAAAAUAUAAACAACGAUUAGACAACGCAACAUAUCAGGAACACCAUGAUGCUGCAAAAAGGUAAAAAACUUGCCGGUGAUGAGGUGGCAAGCCAACGAUGCGGAGACGCCGCGGGAAUUGUCGUAAAUAUGUAUAUAUGUAUAUAUUUAUUUGUAUUGAUACAGCGGCGUUGAAUUUGUCUUACGUUGAAUUUCUCUCUAUACGUCGUUGACGUGCUGCUGCAGUGACGACUUCAAACCACAUCCAUACGCGGUGAUCGUCUCCUGUGAAUACUCCUUGCCGAUUCUGAUAUGUCUCUGAUCAGUCGACUGACUCCUUGACAGCACAAAAUCUGGGACGGCACAAGCAACCGGAGUCAGCACAAAUACUCGGCACAGAUAAAUUCUUCCUUGCACGUCACGAAGGUUUCUCGUGUGGCACGAGGCUUGCCAGUGCUGCUCGAUUCCAGACGCGGCACAACUUUUGGCGGGACGCAAAGAUUCCUUUCCGAACCGAGCGUAGGCACAAGUGUGCUGUUGUCCUAAAAUGCACGGUCGCUACCCCCUUGCACAUUAUCACUAAGCAAAUAACCUAUAGAGAAGUCAUCCCAUACAACUGAAAGUGUCUCAGCUAAAGCCAUGACGGGGCGUAAUUGGGUAAUUUUUUGGUGGACGCGUCGUUUGAGGGAAAUUAUUUUUGGUUUCGAUUCAGUUGGCUGGCCGAGCUCGUUGCUGGCAUAGCAAGCCAAGCACAAAACAUGCGUGCUAUGAAAUACCCUUUAGCUAUAAAAAAUAAUUGUCUUUAAUAUUUUAUAAAG